rnacentral:rRNA from 1 species
UGGGAAUAUUGCACAAUGGGCGGAAGCCUGAUGCAGCAACGCCGCGUGCGGGAUGACGGCCUUCGGGUUGUAAACCGCUUUCGCCUGUGACGAAGCGUGAGUGACGGUAAUGGGUAAAGAAGCACCGGCUAACUACGUGCCAGCAGCCGCGGUGAUACGUAGGGUGCGAGCGUUGUCCGGAUUUAUUGGGCGUAAAGCGUGCGCAGGCGGUUUUGUACGACAGGCGUGAAAUCCCCGAGCUCAACUUGGGAAUGGCGCUUGUGACUGCAAGGCUAGAGUAUGUCAGAGGGGGGUAGAAUUCCACGUGUAGCAGUGGAAUGCGUAGAGAUGUGGAGGAAUACCGAUGGCGAAGGCAGCCCCCUGGGACGUCACUGACGCUCAUGCACGAAAGCGUGGGGAGCAAACAGGAUUAGAUACCCUGGUAGUCCACGCCCUAAACGAUGUCAACUAGUUGUUGGGGAUUCAUUUCUUCAGUAACGUAGCUAACGCGUGAAGUUGACCGCCUGGGGAGUACGGUCGCAAGAUUA